rnacentral:rRNA from 1 species
UACAGAGGGUGCGAGCGUUGUUCGGAGUUACUGGGCGUAAAGAGUGCGUAGGCGGUUUUCUAAGUUUGGUGUGAAAUCUCCCGGCUUAACUGGGAGGGUGCGCCGAAAACUGGAAGGCUUGAGUAUGGGAGAGGGAUGCAGAAUUCCAGGUGUAGCGGUGAAAUGCGUAGAUAUCUGGAGGAAUACCGGUGGCGAAGGCGGCAUCCUGGACCGGCAUUGACGCUGAUACAGCGAAAGCUAGGGGAGCAAACGGG